AGUGAACGCUGGCGGUGGGCCUAACACAUGCAAGUCGAACGGCAGCACAGUAAGAGCUUGCUCUUACGGGUGGCGAGUGGCGGACGGGUGAGGAAUACAUCGGAAUCUACUUUUUCGUGGGGUAUAACGUAGGGAAACUUACGCUAAUACCGCAUACGACCUACGGGUGAAAGCAGGGGAUCUUCGGACCUUGCGCGAUUGAAUGAGCCGAUGUCGGAUUAGCUAGUUGGCGGGGUAAAGGCCCACCAAGGCGACGAUCCGUAGCUGGUCUGAGAGGAUGAUCAGCCACACUGGAACUGAGACACGGUCCAGACUCCUACGGGAGGCAGCAGUGGGGAAUAUUGGACAAUGGGCGCAAGCCUGAUCCAGCCAUACCGCGUGGGUGAAGAAGGCCUUCGGGUUGUAAAGCCCUUUUGUUGGGAAAGAAAAGCAGCAGGUUAAUACCCCGCUGUUCUGACGGUACCCAAAGAAUAAGCACCGGCUAACUUCGUG
rnacentral:rRNA from 1 species